CUGCUCACUUCUGCAGCACAUAUACAACUGGAAUGAUACAGAGAAGAUUAGUAUGGCCCCUGCGCAACAAUGGCAUGCAAAUUCGUGAAGCAUUCCAUGUUUUU